rnacentral:rRNA from 1 species
AGCAGCCGCGGUAACACCAGCGUCACGAGUGGCGUACACAUUUAUUGGGCCUAAAGCGUCCGUAGCCGGUUUGGUAAAUCUUUUGUGAAAUCAUGGGGCUUAACUCCAUGGCGUGCAGAAGACACUGCCUGACUUGGAACCGGGAGGAGUCUGAGGUAUUCUGGGGGGAGCGGUAAAAUGUUAUAAUCCCCGGAGGACCACCUGUGGCGAAGGCGUCAGACUAGAACGGAUUCGACGGUGAGGGACGAAGGCCAGGGGAGCGAACCGGAUUAGAUACCCGAGUAGUCCUGGCAGUAAACGCUGCGAGCUAGGUGUUGCACAUUCUCCGUGAGUGUGCAGUGCCGAAGUGAAGAUGUUAAGCUCGCCGCCUGGGAAGUAUGGUCGCAAGACUGAAACUUAAAGGAAUUGGCGGGGGAGCACUACAAGGGGUGCGGCGUGCGGUUUAAUCUAAUUCAACGCAGAAAAUCUCACCAGAAGCGACGGCAGGAUGAAAGUCAGUCUGAAGGGCUUACUUGACGAGCCGAGAGGUAGUGCAUGGCCGCCGUCAGCUCGUGCCGUGAGGUGUCCUGUUAAGUCAGGCAACGAGCGAGACCUGCGCCUACAAUUGCCAGCGGGUAAUUUAUUACGACUGGGCACAUUGUAGGGACUGCCUUGGAAACAAGGAGGAAGGUGCAGGCUACGGUAGGUCUGUAUGCUCCGAAUCUUCUGGGCUACACGCGCGCAACAAUGGUACGGACAAUAGGAUGCGACUCCGAAAGGAGAAGCCAACCCCCGAAACCGUAUCCAAGUACAGAUUGAGGGCUGUAACCCGCCCUCAUGACGAUGGAAUCCCUAGUAAUCGGAAUUCAACACGUUCCGGUGAAUAUGUCCCUGCUCCU